CAGUCGCCACGGUAAUACGUAGGGUGCAAGCGUUAAUCGGAAUUACUGGGCGUAAAGCGUACGCAGGCGGUUAUAUAAGUCAGAUGUGAAAUCCCCGGGCUCAACCUGGGAACUGCAUUUGAGACUGUGUGGCUAGAGUGUGUCAGAGGGGGGUAGAAUUCCACGUGUAGCAGUGAAAUGCGUAGAUAUGUGGAGGAAUACCGAUGGCGAAGGCAGCCCCCUGGGAUAACACUGACGCUCAUGCACGAAAGCGUGGGGAGCAAACAGGAUUAGAUACCCGGGUAGUCCCUGUCUCUUAUAC
rnacentral:rRNA from 1 species